rnacentral:rRNA from 1 species
ACGGAAGGCAGCAGUGGGGAAUAUUGGGCAAUGGGCGAAAGCCUGACCCAGCAACGCCGCGUGAAGGAAGAAGGCCUUCGGGUUGUAAACUUCUUUUAAGAGGGACGAAGAAGUGACGGUACCUCUUGAAUAAGCCACGGCUAACUACGUGCCAGCAGCCGCGGUAAUACGUAGGUGGCGAGCGUUAUCCGGAUUUACUGGGUGUAAAGGGCGCGUAGGCGGGAAUGCAAGUCAGAUGUGAAAUCCAAGGGCUCAACCCUUGAACUGCAUUUGAAACUGUAUUUCUUGAGUGUCGGAGAGGUUGACGGAAUUCCUAGUGUAGCGGUGAAAUGCGUAGAUAUUAGGAGGAACACCAGUGGCGAAGGCGGUCAACUGGACGAUAACUGACGCUGAGGCGCGAAAGCGUGGGGAGCAAACAGGAUUAGAUACCCUGGUA